GCGGGCGUAGUACAGUGGUAGUAUGUCUGCUUCCCAAGCAGAAGAUCGCGGGUUCGAACCCCGUCGCCCGCUCAA
rnacentral:tRNA from 3 species